rnacentral:rRNA from 1 species
CCUACGGGAGGCUGCAGUGAGGAAUAUUGGUCAAUGGGCGCGAGCCUGAACCAGCCAAGUCGCGUGAGGGAGGACGGCCCUACGGGUUGUAAACCUCUUUUGCCGGGGAGCAACGGGUGUCACGUGUGGCGCCACUGAGAGUACCCGGAGAAAAAGCAUCGGCUAACUCCGUGCCAGCAGCCGCGGUAAUACGGAGGAUGCGAGCGUUAUCCGGAUUUAUUGGGUUUAAAGGGUGCGUAGGCGGAUCGUUAAGUCAGUGGUCAAAUUGAGGGGCUCAACCCCUUCCAGCCAUUGAAACUGGCGUUCUUGAGUGGAAGAGAAGUAUGCGGAAUGCGUGGUGUAGCGGUGAAAUGCAUAGAUAGCACGCAGAACCCCGAUUGCGAAGGCAGCAUGCCGGCUUCCGACUGACGCCGAAGCACGAAAGCGUGGGGAUCGAACAGGAUUAGAUACCCGUGUAGUC